rnacentral:miRNA from 1 species
AGAGUGAGGGAAGAAAGGGAUGACUGGUGACAGAGUGAGAGAGGGGGUGACUAGUGACAGAGUGAAAAAGGGGGUGACUGUCACUAGUCACCCCAUCCCUCACUCUGUCACUAGUCACCCCCUCUCUCACUCUGUCA